UGUCAGGUAUAUGGUAUAAUAUAAGUACAAAACGUCAAAUACAAUAUAUAUAUAUAAUAUACAUAUCAGAUAUUAUACUACUCUAUCUAUUUUCGCGAAUGGUCUGACUUUUGACUCUAUACUGCCGCCUCGAUUUCCGGUGGCAUUGCUCCGGUUCUCCCGGAGCACUCCGGAUUCGUAAGCUCAGAGGCGACGGACCCAUUUACGGACGAAACACCUCCGGGACCGGACGAAACUGUCCAUAUCCGUAUUUACCGUAGGGUGUGAAUGGGCCUUCACGGGGUUGGUUAACACAGGGUUGUGUGCGUCCACGCCAAACCUAUAUAAAGACGUGAUGUACAGUAUGGAUCAUGGAAGCCGCUUAUUUAAAUGAAAUGGAACUCCAGGUUCUCCUGGAGAGCUAUGACGAGGAGCAGGACAUUAUCACAAGAAAAGGGAACGCUAAAGCCUCUGCAAACCAGAGAACCAAAGCCUGGCAGCGGAUUGCUGACCGCGUAAAUGCGCCUACUCCGAUGGUCAGCGGAUCAAGUAAAAAUUAAGUAUAAAAACAUACAAACUGCGUGAAAAGGCCGACAGUGGGCAGACUGGAUCUGGCCCUCAAAUUGUCUUGACCCCGGUGGAGGAGCUGGCAAUAGACAUAAAUUCAGGGCACCCUGGCAUGGAGGAGGUACCUGGAGGUACCUCCUCAGAGAGUCAGGGGCCACUAUUUGAAUAUCAAGAUGGAUUGUGCGGCCCGCGGGCCAAUGGCGGCCGCUUCACACUCGGCCGCCAGCCGAUCCAGUGAGUGCUG